UACAGAGGUCUCAAGCGUUGUUCGGAUUCAUUGGGCGUAAAGGGUGCGUAGGCGGCGCGGUAAGUCGGGGGGGAAAUCUUGGAGCUUAACUCCGAAACUGCAUUCGAUACUGCCGUGCUUGAGGACUGGAGAGGAGACUGGAAUUUACGGUGUAGCGGUGAAAUGCGUAGAUAUCAGGAGGAACACCGGUGGCGAAGGCGGGUCUCUGGGCAGUAACUGACGCUGAGGAGCGAAAGCGUGGGGAGCGAACAGG
rnacentral:rRNA from 1 species